rnacentral:tRNA from 1 species
GAUUUGGUAGUACAAUCGGUAGCACAUCAGAUCCAAGAUCUGUAGAUGCGGUUCAAACCCCAUCUAAAUUU